rnacentral:rRNA from 1 species
CAGUAGCCACGGUAAAACGGAGGAUCCGAGCGUUAUCCGGAAUUAUUGGGUUUAAAGGGUGCGUAGGCGGAUAGAUAAGUCAGUGGUGAAAGACGGUGGCUCAACCAUCGCAGUGCCGUUGAUACUGUUUAUCUUGAAUAUGGAUGAGGUAGGCGGAAUGUGGCAAGUAGCGGUGAAAUGCAUAGAUAUGCCACAGAACACCGAUUGCGAAGGCAGCUUACCAAGGCAAAAUUGACGCUGAGGCACGAAAGCGUGGGGAUCGAACAGGAUUAGAUACCCCUGUAGUCCCUGUCUCUUAUAU